GAUGAACGCUGGCGGCGUGCCUAAUACAUGCAAGUCGAGCGAACAGACGAGGAGCUUGCUCCUCUGACGUUAGCGGCGGACGGGUGAGUAACACGUGGAUAACCUACCUAUAAGACUGGGAUAACUUCGGGAAACCGGAGCUAAUACCGGAUAAUAUAUUGAACCGCAUGGUUCAAUAGUGAAAGACGGUUUUGCUGUCACUUAUAGAUGGAUCCGCGCCGCAUUAGCUAGUUGGUAAGGUAACGGCCUACCAAGGCAACGAUGCGUAGCCGACCUGAGAGGGUGAUCGGCCACACUGGAACUGAGACACGGUCCAGACUCCUACGGGAGGCAGCAGUAGGGAAUCUUCCGCAAUGGGCGAAAGCCUGACGGAGCAACGCCGCGUGAGUGAUGAAGGUCUUCGGAUCGUAAAACGCUGUUAUUAGGGAAGAACAAAUGUGUAAGUAACUAUGCACGUCUUGACGGUACCUAAUCAGAAAGCCACGGCUAACUACGUG
rnacentral:rRNA from 1 species